UACAGAGGUCCCAAGCGUUGUUCGGAUUCACUGGGCGUAAAGGGUGCGCAGGUGGUCGGGUAAGUCUGACGUGAAAUCCCGCAGCUUAACUGCGGAAUGGCAUUGGAUACUAUUCGGCUAGAGGGUUGGAGGGGGGACUGGAAUUCUCGGUGUAGCAGUGGAAUGCGUAGAUAUCGAGAGGAACACCAGUGGCGAAGGCGAGUCCCUGGACAACUCCUGACGCUGAGGCACGAAAGCUAGGGGAGCAAACAGG
rnacentral:rRNA from 1 species